UUAUAAUAAAAGCAAAACUGACGAAAGUCUGUGACGCAAAAACAUAAGUCUAAGGAUUAUUUUCUAUGAUUGUUAUGUUUGCCUCA
rnacentral:ncRNA from 1 species